CAUCCUCUGUUUCUUCCAAAGGUUGUCCUUUAUGAUGUGGAAUUGUGCCUGUGACAGCAAAGUCACAGUGUAAAGCCGGUGCAAAAUCCUGUAAAUUCAGGGGGGAUGUUUGUAUCCUACUACAUCUCCUGAGUUGUGUGAAAUGGCUAAAAGAACAAAAAUGACGAGUAUCGUUCUUUCUAGACCGAAUGGACAGACGAAUCUGCAUAUUUGGAAGUUGCAUUUAUGGGUUUUGAAGUCCGGUUUGAGCUGUGGUUUGCAGUGAUGAAAAGGAGUUCAUGGUAAUUGUUAUCCAAUGAAGUCCAGCACCAUACAAGUGCUGUACAAUCACCUCAACUCUGCAAGUCAUCACAUUGUCACAUUGAUUUAUAAACAAAGGUUGGGCAGUACUGUUAACAUGGGCACUCAUGCUUAUAUCAACACAACGAAAUAUGCCAUCACUCAUAUUUAUAAUUCACACAUGACAUCAUUAGAAAUGAAAUUCACACAUGUGCAUAAAAAAAAACAAAAAACAAAAAACAAGCAAACAGAGUUUGUUUCAUUUUGAACAUUUCUUCAUUGAAUGGCCAAAGAAGACGUGUGCUCUUGGACAGACAUCCGUGUGGAGGGUUAGGAAACUGUGGACCACUGGAACAUGAACAGGGACUAACUCUGUCCAAGUCUGCAUACACUUAUGGAAG
ensembl:lncRNA